GAUGAACGCUGGCGGCGUGCCUAAUACACGCAAGUCGAGCGAACGGACGAGAAGCUUGCUUCUCUGAUGUUAGCGGCGGACGGGUGAGUAACACGUGGAUAACCUACCUAUAAGACUGGGAUAACUUCGGGAAACCGGAGCUAAUACCGGAUAAUAUUUUGAACCGCAUGGUUCAAAAGUGAAAGACGGUCUUGCUGUCACUUAUAGAUGGAUCCGCGCUGUAUUAGCUAGUUGGUAAGGUAACGACUUACCAAGGCAACGAUGCAUAGCCGACCUGAGAGAGUGAUCAGCCACACUGGAACUGAGACACGGUCCAGACUCCUACGAGAAGCAGCAGUGGGGAAUCGUCCGCGAUGGGCGAAAACCUGACAGAGCAACGCCGCGUAAGUUAAGGAGUACUUCGGAUCCUAAAACGCUGUUAUUAGGGAAGAACAUAUGUGUAAGUAACUAUGCACAUCAUGACGGUACCUAAUCAGAAAGCCACGGCUAACUACGUG
rnacentral:rRNA from 1 species